rnacentral:rRNA from 1 species
CCCUUAGAUGUUCUGGGCCGCACGCGCGCUACACUGAUGCAUUCAACGAGUCUAAAACCUGCUCUGAUAGGGGUGGGUAAUCUUUUGAAUGUGCAUCGUGAUUGGGAUAGAUGAUUGCAAUUUUUCAUCUUCAACGAGGAAUGCCUAGUAAACGCAAGUCAUCAGCUUGCAUUGAUUACGUCCCUGCCCUUUGUACACACCGCCCGUCGCUCCUACCGAUUGAAUGAUCCGAUGAAUAUCAUGAAUUGAGGAUGCAAGCAGGUUCGCCUGUCUUCAUCUUCGAGAAGUGAAGUAAAUCUUAUCAUUUAGAGGAAGGAGAAGUCGUAACA